CCCCUACAAGCUCAUUUUUGCCACAUACAAGGCACACUAGUCCUGUCUCAGACGACUGCCCUCCUGACAGUGGAUGAUCCUGCUGCUCCCUCCUUUUGGAAACCCUCUCUUCUCCAGUCUUCCGCGACCCUGACUGUGCUCUCCAAACCCUCCUCCGCUUUAAUCUCCCUCCUUCUCAGCCCUUUCCUCCUCCAACCCACUCUGCUCCAGCCCGCCAGAUCUCUCCAACAUUAAUGGGCUCGUGGCCCAUCCCCUGAGCCCUCUGGUGCUUGGCUGUUCUCUGGAUAACAUCCAGAUUCUCUCCAUGCAGUUGUCAGACUCAGCCUGCUGGGUCUCUCUGGGUUGAUUCUGCAGCCUCACCUUUGGCUCCAUCCUUGUGGGUGGCUCCAGGCUACCAGAGGCCUCUAGCCCUUCAUCCAUUCAGUUCCUCCUGAUGAUUUGACCCUCCAUCACUUUCUCCCAGCAGCUUACUUGGCUUUGGGACCACAACUCUAACGUGACCCCAACUCCUUCAGACCUUCUGCUAUCCAGGCACCAUCUUAAGUCUGAAUCAGUUUUGCAUUCCCAAUCUUGUGCUGAUUCUGAGUAAGAGCCUUCUUUCUUGAGAUGUGUUUCACAGUUUGUUCGUUCAUGUUGUAUGUUCACAUGUAUAUUCACGUUCAUGUUCUCAUCUGAUUCUCUCAAGAGCCCUGUGAAGCAGGAAUAUCCACUGUUAUCUCCAUUCUACAGAGAAGACUGAGGCUUGGGGAGUUUCAGUGACCUUUCCAAUGUCACACACCCGGUCCUAACCACAUCCAGUCUUAACCUCACAGAGCGGUACCCUGAUUCCAAGCCCAGCUGAGAGUGGCCGACCUCCACAGCUGAGCCCGUGGGCUGGGAGCCCCCUGGUCGUGACGGGCCUGGAGUGAGUGGUGGAUCAUCUGCCAACAACGACUGAAAAUAAGUGACUGGAAGGAUGGAGACAAGUGGGGGAGUCCGUGGAGAGACGGGAAGAGGCGGAAGCGGGUGGUGAGUCUUGGGGCUGAAGGAGGAGCUUCAGGGAGAAGAAAUGAUUUCUGAGCAG